UAGGGAAUCUUCGGCAAUGGGGGCAACCCUGACCGAGCAACGCCGCGUGAGUGAAGAAGGUUUUCGGAUCGUAAAGCUCUGUUGUAAGAGAAGAACGAGUGUGAGAGUGGAAAGUUCACACUGUGACGGUAUCUUACCAGAAAGGGACGGCUAACUACGUGCCAGCAGCCGCGGUAAUACGUAGGUCCCGAGCGUUGUCCGGAUUUAUUGGGCGUAAAGCGAGCGCAGGCGGUUAGAUAAGUCUGAAGUUAAAGGCUGUGGCUUAACCAUAGUACGCUUUGGAAACUGUUUAACUUGAGUGCAAGAGGGGAGAGUGGAAUUCCAUGUGUAGCGGUGAAAUGCGUAGAUAUAUGGAGGAACACCGGUGGCGAAAGCGGCUCUCUGGUCUGUAACUGACGCUGAGGCUCGAAAGCGUGGGGAGCGAACAGGAUUAGAUACCCUGGUAGUCCACGCCGUAAACGAUGAGUGCUAGGUGUUGGAUCCUUUCCGGGAUUCAGUGCCGCAGCUAACGCAUUAAGCACUCCGCCUGGGGAGUACGACCGCAAGGUUG
rnacentral:rRNA from 1 species